GACGUAGGUGGCGAACGUUAUCCGGAAUUAUUGGGCGUAAAGAGCGUGUAGGCGGCCAGGUAGGUCUGCUGUGAAAACUCGAGGCUCAACCUCGAGACGUCGGCGGAAACCAUCUGGCUAGAGUCCGGAAGAGGAGAGUGGAAUUCCUGGUGUAGCGGUGAAAUGCGCAGAUAUCAGGAAGAACACCCGUGGCGAAGGCGGCUCUCUGGGACGGUACUGACGCUGAGACGCGAAAGCGUGGGGAGCGAACAGG
rnacentral:rRNA from 1 species